UGCUGGAGGUAUCAGAAGUGCGAAUGCUGACAUAAGUAACGAUAAAGCGGGUGAAAAGCCCGCUCGCCGGAAGACCAAGGGUUCCUGUCCAACGUUAAUCGGGGCAGGGUGAGUCGACCCCUAAGGCGAGGCCGAAAGGCGUAGUCGAUGGGAAACGGGUUAAUAUUCCCGUACUUGGUGUUACUGCGAAGGGGGGACGGAGAAGGCUAUGUUGGCCGGGCGACGGUUGUCCCGGUUUAAGCGUGUAGGUGUGUGUUCCAGGUAAAUCCGGUUCACUUUAACACUGAGGCGUGACGACGAGGCACUACGGUGCUGAAGCAACAAAUGCCCUGCUUCCAGGAAAAGCCUCUAAGCAUCAGGUAACAUCAAAUCGUACCCCAAACCGACACAG
rnacentral:rRNA from 1 species